GACGAACCGUGCGAACGUUAUUCGGAAUCAUUGGGCUUAAAGGGCGCGUAGGCGGCGGCGUAAGUUGGAAGUGAAAUCCCAUCGGCUCAACCGUGGAAUUGCUCCCAGUACUGCGUCGCUCGAGGGGGAUAGGGGUCUGCGGAACUACCGGUGGAGCGGUGAAAUGUGUUGAUAUCGGUGGGAACGCCAGUGGCGAAAGCGGCAGACUGGACCCUUCCUGACGCUGAUGCGCGAAAGCGUGGGGAGCAAACAGG
rnacentral:rRNA from 1 species